rnacentral:rRNA from 1 species
AACCGCUGCUGGUGUGCCUAACACAUGCAGUCGUACGAGAAAUCCUGGGCAACUGGGAAAGUAAAGUGGCGCACGGGUGAGUAACGCGUGGGUAACCUACCCUUGGAUUUGGGAUAACUCCGCGAAAGCGGGGUUAAUACCGUAAUAAUAUUUCGAUCUCUAAGGGGAUCGGAAUCAAAGGUGGCCUCUGCAUGCAAGCUACUGUCUAAGGAUGGGCCCGCGUACCAUUAGCUUGUUGGUAGGGUAACGGCCUACCAAGGCAACGAUGGUUAGCUGGUCUUAGAGGAUGGCCAGCCACACUGGAACUGAGACACGGUCCAGACUCCUACGGGAGGCAGCAGUGGGGUAUCUUGCGCAAUGGGGGAAACCUUGACGCAGCAACGCCGCGUGGGUGAUGAAGGCCUUCGGGUCGUAAAGCCCUGUCAGGUGGGAAGAAACAUGUCGGUGUUAAUAUCACCGAUGUUUGACGGUACCGCCGGAGGAAGCACCGGCUAACUCCGUGCCAGCAGCCGCGGUAAUACGGAGGGUGCAAGCGUUGUUCGGAAUUACUGGGCGUAAAGCGCGUGUAGGCGGUCGGGCAAGUCAGAUGUGAAAGCCUUCCGCUUAACGGAAGAAGUGCAUUUGAAACUACCCGGCUGGAGUACGGGAGAGGAGAGUGGAAUUCCCGGUGUAGAGGUGAAAUUCGUAGAUAUCGGGAGGAACACCAGUGGCGAAGGCGGCUCUCUGGUCCGAUACUGACGCUGAGACGCGAAAGCGUGGGGAGCAAACAGGAUUAGAUACCCUGGUAGUCCACGCCGUAACGAUGGGCACUAGGUGUAGGAGGUAUUGACCCCUUCUGUGCCGAAGUUAACGCAUUAAGUGCCCCGCCUGGGGAGUACGGCCGCAAGGUUA